AACUGGGUAGCUCAGAAGGCAGAGCGCUGGUAAUUAUGCCAGAGGUCACAGGUUCGAUUCCUGUCCCAGUUA
rnacentral:tRNA from 1 species